UUCAGGGCAGGUGCUAUACAUGCAGUCGAGCGGACAGAUGGGAGCUUGCUCCCUGAUGUUAGCGGCGGACGGGUGAGUAACACGUGGGUAACCUGCCUGUAAGACUGGGAUAACUCCGGGAAACCGGGGCUAAUACCGGAUGGUUGUUUGAACCGCAUGGUUCAAACAUAAAAGGUGGCUUCGGCUACCACUUACAGAUGGACCCGCGGCGCAUUAGCUAGUUGGUGAGGUAACGGCUCACCAAGGCGACGAUGCGUAGCCGACCUGAGAGGGUGAUCGGCCACACUGGGACUGAGACACGGCCCAGACUCCUACGGGAGGCAGCAGUAGGGAAUCUUCCGCAAUGGACGAAAGUCUGACGGAGCAACGCCGCGUGAAUGAUGAAGGUUUUCGGAUCGUAAAGCUCUGUUGUUAGGGAAGAACAAGUACCGUUCGAAUAGGGCGGUACCUUGACGGUACCUAACCAGAAAGCCACGGCUAACUACGUGCCACCAGCCGCGGUAAUACGUAGGUGGCAAGCGUUGUCCGGAAUUAUUGGGCGUAAAGGGCUCGCAGGCGGUUUCUUAAGUCUGAUGUGAAAGCCCCCGGCUCAACCGGGGAGGGUCAUUGGAAACUGGGGAACUUGAGUGCAGAAGAGGAGAGUGGAAUUCCACGUGUAGCGGUGAAAUGCGUAGAGAUGUGGAGGAACACCAGUGGCGAAGGCGACUCUCUGGUCUGUAACUGACGCUGAGGAGCGAAAGCGUGGGGAGCGAACAGGAUUAGAUACCCUGGUAGUCCACGCCGUAAACGAUGAGUGCUAAGUGUUAGGGGGUUUCCGCCCCUUAGUGCUGCAGCUAACGCAUUAAGCACUCCGCCUGGGGAGUACGGUCGCAAGACUGAAACUCAAAGGAAUUGACGGGGGCCCGCACAAGCGGUGGAGCAUGUGGUUUAAUUCGAAGCAACGCGAAGAACCUUACCAGGUCUUGACAUCCUCUGACAAUCCUAGAGAUAGGACGUCYCCUUCGGGGGCAGAGUGACAGGUGGUGCAUGGUUGUCGUCAGCUCGUGUCGUGAGAUGUUGGGUUAAGUCCCGCAACGAGCGCAACCCUUGAUCUUAGUUGCCAGCAUUCAGUUGGGCACUCUAAGGUGACUGCCGGUGACAAACCGGAGGAAGGUGGGGAUGACGUCAAAUCAUCAUGCCCCUUAUGACCUGRGCUACACACGUGCUACAAUGGACAGAACAAAGGGCAGCGAAACCGCGAGGUUAAGCCAAUCCCACAAAUCUGUUCUCAGUUCGGAUCGCAGUCUGCAACUCGCUGCGUGAAGCUGGAAUCGCUAGUAAUCGCGAUCAGCA
rnacentral:rRNA from 2 species